AGAGUUUGUAGUCCUCGGCGUCAGGAGUGAACGACGUGCGGCGUGCUAACUACGAUGCAGUCGAGCGGAGCACAUCGUUGGAAGUCCUUCGGGAGGGAAGAGGGAGUGUGGCGUUAGCGGCGGGACGGGUGGAGUAACGACGUGGACAACCUGCCCUACUGCAGGGGGAGUAACAUCCGGAAACGGGUGCUAAUACCGCAUAAGCGCACAGUACCGCAUGGUACGGUGUGAAAGCUGAGGCGGCAUAGGAUGGGUCCGCGUUGGAUUAGGCAGUUGGCGGGGUAACGGCCCACCAAACCGACGAUCCAUAGCCGGCCUGAGAGGGUGGACGGCCACAUUGGGACUGAGACACGGCCCAGACUCCUACGGGAGGCAGCAGUGGGAAAUAUUGCACAAUGGGGGGAACCCUGAUGCAGCGACGCCGCGUGGGUGAGGAAGUACUUCGGUAUGUAAAGCCCUAUCAGCAGGGAAGAAAAUGACGGUACCUGACUAAGAAGCCCCGGCUAACUACGUG
rnacentral:rRNA from 1 species